rnacentral:rRNA from 1 species
UACGAAGGGGGCUAGCGUUGCUCGGAUUGACUGGGCGUAAAGGGCGCGUAGGCGGUUCGUACGUCAGACGUGAAAUUCCUGGGCCUCAACCUGGGGGCUGCGUUUGAUACGUGCGGACUUGAGUGCGGAAGAGGGUCGUGGAAUUCCACGUGUAGAGGUGAAAUUCGUAGAUAUUGGGAAGAACACCGGUGGCGAAGGCGGCCAAUCUGGACCGCAACGUGA